AUUGAACGCUGGCGGCAGGCUUAACACAUGCAAGUCGAGCGGGGUGAUGGUGCUUGCACUAUCACUUAGCGGCGGACGGGUGAGUAAUGCUUAGGAAUCUGCCUAUUAGUGGGGGACAACAUCUCGAAAGGGAUGCUAAUACCGCAUACGUCCUACGGGAGAAAGCAGGGGAUCACUUGUGACCUUGCGCUAAUAGAUGAGCCUAAGUCGGAUUAGCUAGUUGGUGGGGUAAGGGCCUACCAAGGCGACGAUCUGUAGCGGGUCUGAGAGGAUGAUCCGACACACUGGGACUGAGACACGGCCCAGACUCCUACGGGAGGCAGCAGUGGGGAAUAUUGGACAAUGGGGGGAACCCUGAUCCAGCCAUGCCGCGUGUGUGAAGAAGGCCUUAUGGUUGUAAAGCACUUUAAGCGAGGAGGAGGCUUACCUAGUUAAUACCUGGGAUAAGUGGACGUUACUCGCAGAAUAAGCACCGGCUAACUCUGUGCCAGCCGCCGCAGUAA
rnacentral:rRNA from 1 species